rnacentral:rRNA from 1 species
CGGAGGGUGCAAGCGUUGUCCGGAUUUAUUGGGUUUAAAGGUGCGUAGGCGGUCUUUUAAGUCAGUGGUGAAAUCCUGCAGCUCAACUGUAGAACAGCCAUUGAUACUGAAAGACUUGAGUACAGACGAGGUAGGCGGAAUUUAUGGUGUAGCGGUGAAAUGCAUAGAUACCAUAAAGAACCCCUAUUGCGAAGGCAGCUUACUAGGCUGUAACUGACGCUGAGGCACGAAAGCGUGGGGAUCAAACAGGAUUAGAUACCCUGGUAGUCCACGCCGUAAACGAUGAUUACUCGAUGUUCGCGAUAUACAGUGAGCGUCCAAGCGAAAGCGUUAAGUAAUCCACCUGGGAAGUACGAUCGCAAGAUUG